rfam:Pedobacter sp. PACM 27299, complete genome.
AAUGCAAGCUGUUCUAUCGCUGCGAUUUAUCGGAGAGGAAAGUCCGGGCAACACAGAGCAUCCCGCUUCCUAACGGGAAGAGGCUUAGGAAUGAAUACCUGAGUUAUGGAAAGUGCCGCAGAAAAUAUACCGCCAAUGGCUUUUUAAGCACAGGUAAGGUUGAAAACGUGAGGUAAGAGCUCACGAGUAUUCCGGGCAACCGGAUUGCUGGUAAACCCCGGGAGUUGAAAGACCAAAUAGGCUAACGCAUGUAGGGCUGCUCGUCCGAUGUUAGUGGGUAGGUCGUUAGAGAUAAAUGGUGACAUUUAUACUGGAUUAAUGGUAGAAAGGCUGAGCAAUCAGCUUACAGAACCCGGCUUAUAGGCUUGCAUUUUUU